ACCAGAUAGUGAGUUCUCUACACAGAAGGUUCAACAUUCAGGAUCUUCUAAAUUGGUGGAGCCGUCUCAUCUGCAGGUGUUUAUCGUUGCAGGAGCUGUCUCAUCUGCAGGAGCUGUUAUCUCGUUUCUGGGUUCAGAGCGGGCUGGCUGCCUGUUGUGAUUGAGGUUUACACAGAACUUCUUCCCCUACCAAGGGCAAUAAAACCCUGAAAUUCAAGUCAGUGUCCUUCAAGAACUGGAUUCAGCACCGCAAAACUGAAACCGCCUCCAGAAAAGAGCCUCUUGCGAGAACGCAGAGGCUUGCCUUUCUCUCCUGUCGCUGAGAGUCCCUGGCUGGCUUGGGGACCCCAUGGUGCUGCUCGCUCUUGCCUGUUGCUGGUGGGGGCUUCCUGCUCCUGACCUCAUACUACCUCUGCGGCAGAGGGCCUGAGACAGAGGGGAUCCCUGCCCAUCCCGCCAGCCCUCUUCUCAGGAAGCUUCUGGAAUCUCCACCCAAAAACUUCACUGACAUUCUGCUGACCAGAGCGUGGUCAUAUGGCCACCCCAUCUCACAAGGGGGCUGGAAAAAUGCAUUUUCUUCAGCUGCGCACCUUAUACCCCACAGCAGUACCUACGGGCCUGGUAGUGAGGAAGAGGAUGGGUAACGGAAGUUAGGUCAGCAGCUAGCAGUGUUGGCCACCAGGGGAGAGUCACAGCCACUUUCUGGGCCUGGUGGUGACUUCACAUUGGUUGCCAGGAGGAUGAUUUUGAAGAUACCGCCUGUCGAGCCCUCUUGUAACUAAUCUUCCAGUGUCUGCCGCUGAAGGUGUCCAGUAGCUAACUUCAGGACUCUGUCAUCCCCUCUUCAUUUGGGGGAAUUUCCUCUACUUACUUGAAACAUUCAGAUUUUCCACUGUCAGUUUUGGGUGAAUGAACUAUGCUUAUUACUUUUAAUAAAAGUCUUCAAAAUCU
rnacentral:lncRNA from 1 species